rnacentral:rRNA from 1 species
AGAAUGUGCCUUCGGGAACCGUGAGACAGGUGCUGCAUGGCUGUCGCCAGCUCGUGUUGUGAAAUGUGGGUUAAGUCCCGCAACGAGCGCAACCCUUAUCCUUUGUUGCCAGCGGUCCGGCCCGGAACUCAAAGGAGACUGCCAGUGAUAAACUGGAGGAAGGUGGGGAUGACGUCAAGUCAUCAUGGCCCUUACGACCAGGGCUACACACGUGCUACAAUGGCGCAUACAAAGAGAAGCGACCUCGCGAGAGCAAGCGGACCUCAUAAAGUGCGUCGUAGUCCGGAUUGGAGUCUGCAACUCGACUCCAUGAAGUCGGAAUCGCUAGUAAUCGUGGAUCAGAAUGCCACGGUGAAUACGUUCCCGGGCCUU